GCAUUGUGUCAAUAAUAAGUGUUGCUGUGAAGAGAACAAUAGUCAGACUGAAUGUUGAACAUCAGCUAGUUUCUCCUGCUGAUUUAAACCUUGUUGGACAGAUGGAACAUUGGCUGUGGAUUAUUCUAGCUGCUCUUUUCUUUGAGUGUAAAGGAGACUCAGUGACGCAGACAGAAGGACAUGUUGCUGCUGCUCAAGGAGAAUCUGUAACUCUAGGAUGUAGUUAUAAGAGCACUUUCACUCCAACAAUGUUCUGGUAUAAACAAGAAGAAAACAGCUUCCCAAAGUACAUGCUGAAAGGAUUCUCAUCAGGAGGAGAUAAAGCUCCGGAUUUCAAAGACAGAUUCAAAGCUGAACUCAACGGCAACAAGAAUUCAUUUAAUCUGACGAUCCAGGAUCUCCGUCUGUCAGACUCUGCUGUGUACUACUGUGCUCUGCAGCCCACAGUGACAGGAAACACCAGAACUCUGUACAAGAACCUGCAGAGCAGAGACUAAACAAUACUGCACUAUAACCACUAGAGGGCCUCAUUUACUGUACUUCUUCUUUUGGGGCAUAGGUGAAGUGCUUGGAUCUGAUGGCUGAUUACUUCAUUACACUGUUGCCUGUUCGGGUUGGAAUACUCCUCGUUAAACAGCCAACAAAUUCAUCCUUCUUUUUGAAGAACAGGUCCGCUGUAUCCUACGUGGCCUUGGUAUCCCAUGAUGCAUUGCGAGACUAAGCAAGCCAGUUGCUCUGUACUCAGAGAAAAAAGGAGUUUAAUAUAAUACAAGUACGUAUGUGAAUAGUUCUGUCUGAAAUUAAUGAAAAUAGUUGUGUUACAUGAUUAUUUGGUCAGAUGUGUCAUGGGUAAUGUUUGGUUUAUUGAAAAGUUUU